rnacentral:lncRNA from 1 species
UGAUGGAGCGACUGGCCGAUUUACUGAAGUAGCUGGAUGACCUGGUCUGGAUCUCUGGACUGGGCUGCAGCUUCCAACAGAGUGACUCAGUGCUGGAGCUUCUGCUGCUUCUGUGGAGGAAAUGUGCUUCUGCUGGGAGAGAACUGGAGCAGAGGAACUGAACUGGACUCGAGCAGACUGGGCUGGAUUACCUGGACCACACUUAGUUUGUGAGAUAUUGUAAGGUCCUCCUUCCUGGAGCUCCAGUAACGUCCUGCAAACCUGCAGCUUCACAGUUCCUCACACUUGUGCUCCAACUGCGUCCAGCGUUGUGUUGUGGGGAAACACGGCUCUGACGAAGAACCGGGCUGGAGUUCUGGACUGAACUGGACCUGCUGCUGUAAUGUGUGUCAAAGCUGGAGCUGCACAGUUGUCCGGACUUGUUCACAACUCUGUCCAGCAGCACAUGUGCAGCUAAUGCCGAGGAACCCUGCCGACAGCUCCAAAUCAUCAGCCUGCAAAAGCUUCACACAACAGGGGCCAUGGCUGACUGAUUUAUGCCUCUCAGACCAAGGAGAGUAUUUCAGGACUUCGACCAAGUGGGACAACACUGCCGUCUGUGAAGACAUCGCAUCAGCUGUGUGUGUGAGUAUGCAGGUUCAAUUCCCAGUGAUGCCACAGGCACCUGCCAGUGAUCGGGGAGUCCCAGAGAGCCUAACUGUUCUUUACCUUACAUUACUAUUUUACCUUUUCUCCUGUUUUAUUUUAUUUUUCGUUUACUGUUUACUUUAAUUCUCUCUCUUUUUAUGAGAGCUACUGUUUUAUGAGAGCUAUUACCUGUGAGAACAUCACCAGUUUUGAUGAGUGAAAGACAGACGGACAGAAAGAGACAGAGAGGGAGAGAGAGAUUAUGUUUCCACUGCUUAUAGAUAUAGAUAUUAAUUUCAGUAUGCUCCUAAAUUAAUUAGCAGUUUAAAGCUUUGUGUAUUUCAAUAUAUUUAUUAUUUAGACCACAUAUUCAUAUUAAACGUUUGUACUGCACAAAAUGAUCACCCAAAUAUAGCAAGCAUAAAACUUGCACUGCUUCCUCCUUCACUCCCCAAAAUUCAACUAACAACAAGUAGAUUUUACAGAUAAAUCAGACCUAAUUUAAGUAUUUAUUUAUUUAGUCCUUCUCAUUCCGCAAUAUACCCAGUAUGUUAAUAUAUUUUAGAUCACUGUGAAAGAAGCAAAAGUAACAAGAGGCAUGUUUCAGUCAAAAUUAGUUGUAUGUGGACAACACCUGUGUUUACAAAGUUCAAGAUAGUCUUAGAAAUGUUUACAAUGUGUUUUUUAUAUUAUAUCAGCAUCUUUAAUUUUUUUUUUAAUGUCUGUGUUCAGAUCUGAUAGGACUGUGUAUAGAUUAAUGACACAUUUACAAACAUUUCAAAGGCUCAGACUCCGGUAGGUGGGGAGAUGGAGGGGUUAUUACUUAUGGAAUUUUAAAAAUUAGAGAUAAUUCUGAAAGAGGGGCACAUUGGCCCCUCGCUGCACUGUAUACAUCAGCACGUCACCACCUGAGAAUCAGUGUGUAACACCUACCUCACCAUGCCUCACUGUUCAACAUUUACAAUAAUAUUAGAGCUCUUUAAACAAACACCCAAAGAUCGUACAUUACUUGUUUUUUUUUUUUUGAAUAAAUCAGUUACUCUUGCAUUUUAUUAAUGAACU